rnacentral:rRNA from 1 species
AUAUUUCUCAAUGGGGGCAAGCAAGUUGCAGCGACGCCCCGUGAGGGAGGACGCCCUUCGGGUGGUAAACCUCUUUCACGCAGGAACCUUUUGAGGGUGACGGUACCUGCAGAAGAAGCGCCGGCCAACUACGUGCCAGCAGCCGCGGUAAGACGUAGGGCGCGAGCGUUGUCCGGAUUUAUUGGGCGUAAAGAGCUCGUAGGCGGUUUGUCGCGUCGACUGUGAAAACCCGCAGCUCAACUUCGGGCCUGCAGUCGAUACGGGCAGGCUAGAGUUCGGUAGGGGAGACUGGAAUUCCUGGUGUAGCGGUGAAAUGCGCAGAUAUCAGGAGGAACACCGGUGGCGAAGGCGGGUCUCUGGGCCGAUACAGACGCUGAGGAGCGAAAGCGAGGGGCCCGCACAGGACCAGACACC